AGAGAGAGCCUCACAUACCUUAACUUCCUGCUCUUGAGCAUAAAACAACAUUCUCUAACACUUUCAACUUUAAUCUAUAUUAAUACAAGUCAAAGGGAUUCCAAAUUAGCAAUAAUAGUCAUGUUUUGGUCACUUAGGUAUUUUAUCAAACACUUGGUGACAUAAAGCUUCAAAUCCCUUAUUAAUAGUGUUUUCACACCCAAUAACCCAUUCUCUUUCUUCUAGAUAAAUUCUAAAGUCACAAAUGAUUAUAAUCCGCAUUAAUCUUUUUCAGUCAUAAGGUAAAACGUAUCCUUAACCAAUAAUCAACAAUCAACAUACCAAACCUAUAAUUGUUCAUGCUUUUGUAUCAAACUCAUCAACUCAAAUCUCAUGAAUUAGAGUUUAUAAUCAUUAUACCGGUGCUAUAAUCAAUUAGAUGAUGAAGAUAUUACCUUUUUAAAGUUCAAUCUCGUUGAAUUCGAGUUCUAAAGUUUCUUCUCUCAACAAUAAUGUCCCAAUCAAAUAUCUAAUGAUGCUAAGGGUUUGCCCAUGUUAAUAAGAUAUUGAAAAAUUUAAACUAACUUAGAAUCACCAUUAGAAUUUACCGUGGAUGGUGGAGGAUCUUUAAGGAGUUAUGUUCUUGAAAGUUUUCCUUUUAGAGCAAGCUUUUAUAUUUUGGGGCUGUGAGGGUUAAAAUAGGGCUAAAAAUGACUUCCCAAGUUGGCCAUCGUGUCCCAGUAGGGUUGACCGUGGUCCCGACAGUGGUAAAUCGCUGGAACACUGCUCACUAUCGCGGUCGUGGCCGAACGCAGUGGUUACGCAUCAUUCUGCAAAACGGGAAUAACUUUUUGCAUAGAACUCCGUUUUGGCUUCACAAUAUAUCAUUGAAAAGCUAUUUCAAAGUCAUACAACUUUCAUGCUUUGAGAUUUCUUAAAUUCUUUACGUAUUUUCAUUAAACUUGAAGGAAGACAGACCUCCUGCAAACUUAGUCGAUUUUGUCAAAUCUUAUGCAUCUCACUUUCCUUCUUGAUUUUGAAACAACUAUUUCACCCAUCAUAAUCAUCCCGAUAGGACUCCAUAUGCCUAAAAUAUAACCUUACUACUCCUUUAUCUCAUUCACACCUAAUCCAAAUGUACAGAGUGUUACAAAUAACUUUGCAGGUGGCAGCUUAAAAGUUAAAACGUAUUGAAGAUUUUAAUAUGUAAUCAGUAAUUAACAAAUGAUUUAUGCAAAAUAUUUUGUAAAGGAUUUAGCUCACAUCUCUAUAUUCAAUUUACUGAGAUCAUUUACGUGUUAAUAAAGCAUAAAAAAUGAGUUAGUAAUGUAGGAAUUGGGGACUACAAUAAGAAUAUAGUAAACAUGUGAACUAACCUAAUAUAACAGAAGCAAAAAAUGACCUCAACAGUGUAGGUGUACCUGCUAAGUAAAGGAAAUCCUCAAAUUCUACUCAUAGUAUCCACCUUCUCAGAGCUUAAAUGUAGCAAAUCCUUCAAAGCAAAAAGAUGAUAGUAAUUAGAAAGCGAUGCAAUUUAUAAUAAAUAGCUGGUAUAGAUACAGAGAUUAAAAUAGACGCAAAUAUCACAAUCUCUGAACAUAAUAACCAUAGGAUAAUCACAUAGAUCAUGUGUGCGCUAUUGAGAGCUGUGAUAAAACUACAUUUAAAGUUAAUAGACUUGUAGAACUAAGAAACUGAAGUCGCCACUUUUGAUUUGGAGUGUGGUGAGGAGCUAUUUUGAGCUUUCAACACAAUAAAUGAUCACUACUGCUGAACCUAGACACUUCUAAAGAGAAGAUGCAUAGUGUGUGCAUGUUCAACAUGCUAUGAUAGUAGCAAUUCCAUAUUCACAAUCAGUAACCUUUCAUUUGACAAGAGAUUUUAGUUGAAAAGUACAUAGUGCAAAAAGAGUGGGGAAAAAAUUUAGAAAACAGAAACACAACACAUAAAUUGCAUACUCCUCAAUACUCGUUAGGUCUUGAACCCAGAUAAUUCGCAGAUUGGCAUACGGGACGUUUGCAUUACAUUGCACCCCAUCACACCUCCUCUGGCCUUGUCCACAUUUAGUUUAAUCAAUUUCUUCUUGGAUAAAUUUCACAAUAUUUAAGACACCAAAUGAUAAAACAUAAAAAAAUAUCAGUUAAACAUAUCUCAAGUUAAUUUAUACACUAUCCAGAAGGUCAGCAAUGUGGACCAUUCAUCUAUCUGACACACACUCUAUAAGCUAUAAUUAAUUUCUUCUUGGAUCAAUUUCAUCAGCUUGUUUCAAAGAAUAAAAUUUUGAUACACCAAUUAACAAAAUAUAUGACCAUCCAUUAAAAAUUAAAGCAGCCACAAAAACUUCUUAUAGUUUACCAAGAAAGUGAGAAGUUCAUCUCUUACCUCUCAAAUAUAAGCUACCUAUUAUCCAUUAGUAGCUCCCUUUUUUUCUUGAGUUUCAUAGGAGAGACCAACUCUUGCAUGAUUUGAACUCCACCUUUUCUGUCUCCUCAUUGAAACAACAACUCCUUACACCUGAUUUCAUGUAGAACUGCAAAUCUGCUCUAAAGUAACAACAAAGAAGCAAUUCAUUAGAGUUAGUUACACGUUAUUUUUGAGUUAGCUGUGAGACUCCAGUGCAACAGAACAAUCAAUGAUAAGUUAUAAUCAAUGACCAACAUACAUGAUGAACAUAAGAAACUCUUUAGCAGCAGGGAGAACAUCAAAGAAGGUUGAAGAAACUUCUAUUACCAAGAAGAUCAUAUGAGCCUGAAAACUUGAUAUAAACCAGGUAAAGACACUACUGAGAUCUUAUUUAAGGUACAUCUUUGCCAUAUUUCAUAGAGCUCAUGAAUUGAAUAGUGCAGUUUAGCUUUGAAAUUAUUGCCACUCAACUUUUAGAAAUUGUUUAUCCAUGACAUCCGUUAAAACAAUGUUUAUUUCAUGCCAGUGUCGUUACACAUUUGGCUCUUCCAUGCAAUUAUUGACAAACGGUUGUGGCAUGGAUGGACCAAAUACAAAUUGAGUCGUUAGUCAAUAGUGGCAUGGAUAGGCCAAAUGUGUAACGACAGUGGCAUGUAAUGAACAUUUUUUAACGGAUAGCAUGAAUAGACCAUUCUUUAAAAAUGAGUGGCAUUUUUAGGCCUUCUCCGUAAAAAUUAUUGAAAUUCAUUAAAUAAAAGCAUGCCUAAAUGAACAAUAAUUUAAACAAACAAUAACGUAAAUUGUCAAGCCUGUAUGUAUUUAUUGAUUUCUGCAACGGAACCAUGAUAUCUAAGAAAAGAAGAAGAAGAAGAAUCUAGAAGAAUAAUUAGAGAGAAAAAUAGUAAAAAUGUAACUGAAAAUUCAACUAACUAUCUUGCACUACCUAACUACUAGUAUGUAUUCCUUCUAAUUGGGCUGAAUGAGAGAGGCAAAAUUGGGCUUUAUACGUGGACCAAUUCUUUGGUCUACCGUCUGCUAAAGUGGCCCAGUCCACUUAUUACACCACCAACUCCAUCUAUCUAUUUUCCCCAUUCAUAACAUUCCCUAUCCCUUCGAGAAUGAGCUUGUCCUCAAGGUCGAUGUUGAACCUCUUGAGCCACAAAAUCUGGGAAAUGAUGUUUAAAAUACCCUCAAUCUUCCCAUGUAGCAUCCUCUUCCCUAAGAUUUGUCCACUGAAUAAACACUUUAACCCCUACACCAUUUCAAUAUUUACCAUUUUCUGCUGCAAGAUGGCCACCGUUGAAUCAGUAAUUGACCGUUGAUAUCAUACAUGGGUGGAUGAAGUUGAGGUUCAAUCAAUGGACCUAUUCGUUUCUUAAGUUGAGAAACAUUGUAUACUGGGUGAAUUUGCGAGCCUUCAGGAAGUUCCAAGAGGUAAGUUACCGUUCCAAUAUUCGUUAAAAUUUUGUAAGGACCAAAAUAGCAAGCACACAACUUGACAUUCUUUCGAACCUCUAUUAGUAACUAUCUGUAUGGUUGUAGCUUAAGAUUGACUUGAUCCCCAACCUACAAAGUUCUUUCUGUCCUCGAUCUGUCAGCAAAGAAUUUCAUGCGCGAUUGUGCUCGAAUUAAGUUGUCCUUGAGUGUCUGUAUCAUAUGCUGGUGUGUUGCUAGUCUGCCCAGAACUAGGUAAUGAGCCCAAGGGUAGCUGGGGAGGUGCAUACCCAUAUAAUGCUUCAAAAGGUGUAAUCUUGAGAUUAGUGUGGUAGUUAGUGUUGUACCAUCACUCCGCCAUGUGAAGCCACCUAACCCAUUAUUUAGGAUUAUCAAAGACCAUAGCCCUUAGGUAAGUUUUCAUACAUUUGUUUAGUCUCUCCGUCUGGCCAUCACUCUGAAAGUGGUACGUUGAACUAAAACUGAAUUUGGUACCCAUAGAAUUGAAGAGAUGCUGCCAAAAGUGGCUAGUGAAAACUGGAUCUCUAUUAGACACUAUGGGUGUAGGAAUACCAUGCAACCUAUAAAUCUCAUUGAGAAACAAUUCUGCUACAUCCUAUGCUGUAAAAGGAUGUUUAAGAGGCAGAAAAUGACCAUACUUAUUGAACCUAUCAACCACCACUAGGAUUGUAUUAUUCUGAUUUGAAAUAGGAAGGCCUUCUAUAAAAUCGGUUUAUAUCUUGCCAUGCUUGUUCAGGAAUAGGAAGAGGCAGUAGUUACCUAGGAUAGUGCACAUUCUGUGAUUUCACCCUUUGACAAAUAUCACAUUCACUAACCCAUUUGCAACUGUAUUCCUUCAUCUCAGGCCAGUAAAAAUUCAUUUGUAACCUCUUGUAAGUACCUUGUUAUCCUGAAUGUCCCCCAACUAGAGAUUGAUCCAGUGCUUCCCACACUUUUCUCUUCAAUGCAUUGCUCUUUCCCACAUAUAUCUUCUGCUUGUAUCUAAUUAUCCCCUGUUGUAAUGUGUAGUUUGAAUUGUCUUGAGAAGUUAUUAUCAAUUCAGUCAAUAUCUGAGUAGCCUGAGGAUCACCUUCAUAAGAUUGAUUGAUUUCCUCUAGCCAAGUAGGUUGUGUAAUGGAGAUAGAAAAUAAGGUUGAGUUGUCAGAAUUUUCAUGUCUCCUGGAUAGAGCAUCGACUGCUCUAUUUUCAAAGCCCCUAUUGUACUGAAUUUCAUAGUCUAGCCCCAAGAGUUUAGUGAGGCCCUUCUGUUGUAAAACUAUGGUGACCUUUUGCUCUAGUAAAUAUUUAAGGAUCUGAUGAUCUGUUCUCACAAUGAAAUGACCACAUUGUAAGUAAUAUUUCUAUUUAUCCACUGUUGUUAAGACUGCCAUGAACUCCUUCUCAUAGGUAGACAAACCCCUAUUCUGGUGGCCAAAUCCUUGCUUAAGUAGGCUAUAGGUCUGCCACAUUGCAUUAGUACAGCUCCCAUUCCUAUAGAACAUUCAUCUGUCUCUACAAUAAAGAUUUAGUGAAAUCUGUCAAGGCUAAUACAGGUGCUGUGGACAUGGACUUCUUUAGAUUCUGAAAGGCCUCCUCUACAUCUUCAUUAUAUUGGAAUGAACUCUUCUUAAGUAGGUUAGUCAAUGGCCUACUAAUAAAGCCAUCGGACCUCACAAAUCUUCUGUAGUAGCCUGUAAGACCUAAGAAUCCCCUGAGUGACUUGAUUGACUUAGGUGUAGGCCAAUUCAUCAUAGAUUCUAUCUUGGCAGGAUCAACAGCUACCCCUUUGCCAGAGAUUAUACGGCCCAAAUACUCCACCAUAUCUUGCCCAAAGGCAUAUUUGGAGAGUUUAGCAUAAGGUUUUUCCUUUUGUAAAACUUGUAAUACCUGUCUGAGAUGAUCUACAUGGCUGUCCAUUGUUGGACUGUAAACUAAGAUGUCAUCAAAGAAAAUUAGGACAAAAUUUCUUAACAAGGGUCUGAAAACAUGGUUCAUCAGACUCUAAAAAGUUGCAGGGGCAUUUGUUAAGCCAAAAGGCAUAACUUUGAACUCAUAGUGUCCCAAAUAUGUCCUAAAUGCAGUUUUAUAGAUUUCAGACCUCUCCAUCCUAAUUUGAUGAUACCCAACCCUUAGAUCAAUCUCGGAGUGUAUACAAGAUCCCUUAAGUUCAUCCAUCAAAUCAUCUACUAAAGGAAUAGGAAAUUUAUCCUUUAUGGUCAUCUUGUUUAACUCCAUAUAAUCAAUGUAAUACCUCAAACUCCCAUCCUUCUUCUUCACUGAUAAUACAUGUGAUGAAAAAGGAGAGUUACUGGGCUGUAUAAUUCCACUAUUCAACAUUUCAUUGACUUGCUUUUCUAUUUCAUUUUUUUGAAGUAAUUAUACUUGUAAGGUCUAAUGCUCAUUGUUGUUGCAUCAUGAUUGAGAUGGAUGGAAUGAUCUGGCUCCUAUCCGGUGGCAAGGUCUUUGGUUCUUCAAACACAUCUGGAAAUUCUCUUAGCACUCCCCUGCUCCUUUGAGGUAUGCUUCUAUGUAUCUCAUUGCUUCCAGCUAUAAUUGUGAAUAAGUGAGCCCACAACACCUUCCCUUUCUUAAUAAGUUGUUUCAUUUCACUAGAUGUCAUGUUAUGGAGAUUUCCUUCUUCAGAAUAUCCCUUAAGGUCUACUCUUUUCCCUUUCACACUCACUUGUAACCUAUAUUCAAUGAAAUCAAAUAGAAUAGGAUUAUGCUUCCUCAUCCAAUCCACCCCUAAAGCCACAUCACAUCCCCCAAUAUCUACUAAACUUAGCUUGUGUUCAAAAUUUAUACCCUGAGUCUUCCAAAUGAAUUGAGGACAAGAUUGGUAACUCAUUAGGUAGCCUCCAUUAUCCACAACUAACCUCAUAGGCACAUCAUCUUAACUAAGCACCCUAGGUGUUUAGCAGUCUCACUAGCUAUGAAACUAUUGGUGCUUCCACUGUCUGCUAAUAUAGUUAACAUGUUCUUUCCAUGCAAUCCUCCAAGCUUGAAGGUAGUAGAAGUUAUUGUUCUUGAAAGUGCAUUGAGACUGAUGGCCUCAUCCAAUAACUCUUCCAUCACCCCAUUAGGCAUAGCUUCACCUUCUCUACUUAUUUCUGUAAUUUCCUCCUCUUGUUCAGUACUUCCAGCUAAUGUAUUUAACUGUCUAUUAUUGCACACAUGACCUGGGAAGUACCUUUCUCACAUUUGUAACAUUCAUCCCUGGCCUACCUGACUUCAAACAACUUAGUCCCUGAUAGAACUGUAUUAGAAUUGCCUUCCUUUUGUGAGUUUCCCACAGCUUUGUUCACUGUUAGUGGAUUAGAGCCUUGAUACUGGCCCACACUUUCUCACCACUGAACCUAUUCUUCUUGGCCAUGGUUUCAAUCAAAUUCUCUUUAUGCCUAGCCUUCUUCACAGCAUGACUUAAAGAAUAGGGUUCAAGCACCUUCAAAGUGUGUCUAAUUUCCUCUUUCAGACCUUCAAUAAACAACCCUAAAAAGAAUUCUUCAGGUGUAGUUGGGUAUUUUAUCAACACCCAGGCUUUCAAAUCUUCAAAUAUUUCUAAGUAUUCAUUGACAACCCAUUUUUUCUACCCUUUUAAACUCCCCUAAUAACUUCAAAUUACUAUUAUCUGGGUCAUUAAAUCUCUUGCAGAUUUCCUCAAUAAAAUAUGUCCACCACACAAUUCCUCUACUCAAUUGAUAAGAAAAGUACCAAUAUCCAGCUCUUCGAUCAAGAUGAAGGACUACUGAUUCUAAUUUCUGUUGUGAGUCUGUAAUAUGAUUGUAAUGAAAAUACCAUUCACAUUUGCGCAGCCUCGAUCGAGGAUCUCCUUCCUUAAAGUAUGGAAACUUCACUCCAGAAGCAACAUUGUUCACCAGAAUUCGACCAGUCUGCUGCUCUGAUGGUUUUGCUCUCCUCACUCUCCUUCUACAGCCUUCCAAUUGUAGACCAUCAGCUAGUGGGCUCCCCAAGAUGUCGUCUCUGUGAGAAAAGAAUUUUUCCUUUACCACAUCGAAUUUCCUAUUCAAAUCAUCCAUUUUUGAAUCAUUGGACUCUAAUUUUUGUUUGUUUCAGUCAUGUAACUUUGUAACUGAUUUUCCAAUUUCUUUGCAUUCUCCUCCAUGGUUUUAGCUCUCGUCUCUAUUAUAGUCAUAGCGCCAGGAUAAUGCUCCGAUACCAAAUUAUUAUGUCUCGAUGCGAUUUAGCAAUUGAUUGUAAUUCAGAAAUUGAAAAAUAAAUAGGCUCUUUAUUCAAUCACAAGAAAUAGUAAUCUCCAUGGUUACAUGCAACUGUAGACUGAGAAUUGGAACUAAGAAGAAGAAAAAGAAAGAAGAAGAAGAAUGUAGAAGAAGGAUUAGAGAGAAAAAUAGUGGGAAUGCAACUGAAAAUUCAACUAAAUAUCUUUCACUACCUAACUAUUGGUAUUUAUUCCUUCUAAUUGGGCUGAAUGAGAGAGGCAAAAUAGGAUUUAUACUUGGCCCAAUUAUUUGGUCUACCAUUUGCUAAAGUGGCGCAGUCCACUUAUUACACCACCAAUCCUAUCUAUCUAUUUUCCCCAUUCAUAACAUAUACUUCAAGUAAUACUAUCAUAUCAUGGACAUAUGUUUCACGCUUUUUACUUGAAAAGAAACUAAAUUUAGUUGAGGAGCUUUGGCGGAUAGGAGACAGAAUCAUCGCCUACAAAUAUACAGCGACAUACACAUGCUAAUAUGUCCAAACCUAUAUAAACAAAUAAAAAGUAUUUUAUCCAAUAAGCCGUAAGUGACUGAUUUUAAGAAAAUAUAUACAGCCUGGCAUGUAAAGGCAACAAAAAACAACUAUAGAAAUCCCUAAAUAAAGAAUUCAGAAAAAAAAAAAAAAAAACAGGUUGAACUCACUACAAGCGAGAACCAAAAAGCUUUAGACUCCAUCCUAAAUUUCCCGUUCAAAUAUUUAACAGAUAAAUUAGUGAUGAGCAAAGGAGAUUAGAAUAGAGCUGGUUCGAGCUCCAAGAAGAAGAGGAGGUUGAAGGAACCGAACAACAGAAGAGGGGGAUAACAAAAUAACCUUGAAUUCCUUUUAGUUAUUGUAAAUUCGUGCACUUGAUAGAAAAAGCGUAAUAUCUGAACAACAUCCCCGAGAUUUCAG
rnacentral:lncRNA from 1 species